rnacentral:rRNA from 1 species
UGGACCUGAUAUCAGGCAAGAUUACCCGCUGAACUUAAGCAUAUC